GGGAAGAAGGGCACAAUGAAAACUCAAGCCCCUCAUCUGCCCGACAGGUAUUCUGAAACUUUGAAAAACCAAAUAUAGGGAAAAGGAAAGUAUAUUCCUCUUUAUGGACAGAGAAGAGUUGAAGUGGGUCCUACAUGAUCUCAAUGGUAGGAGGAUGGACCUCUAGUGCAGAAGGACAGAUUGUGGCAUUUGAGAACUUGAUGGGCACUCAGCAUCAUCCUGCCUCACCCCAUCCUUGUUUCUGAAGAAGACCCAGAGAAGGAAAGACCUGCCCAAGGUCACACAGCUCGUCCAUGGCAAGAUGGAAAAAUAGAAGAAGAAGGAGCUUACCUAAAGCCAUGGUGAAAGAUGAGGUCCUCCAAGGUAUUCCAGGCUCUGGCUCCAGACGGAGCGGCGACACAGGAAGGAGGCACAGCC